GAUCCAGCCCCCACUGAGAGAUAUGAAAUUGCUUCAACAGAAACAGGACCUGACCUUUACCGAGAGACAAGCCAGGACCUGGAGCAGCCCCAGCCUUGUGACACAGGCACAGACAUGCCAGCAGCCACCUCCUCACCCUGCCCUGGUUCGUACUGCAGUCAGUCCCUGGGAGAAAACAGAAAUUCAUCACAAUGAGCAGAGCAGAGGCUUGGCUCAGUAGCGUCAUUUAAUGCCUGAUAAUCCCUCAUCCCAAUUUGCUUCAAUUUAUUAGAUGUCCCUGGAAACAGGUGUGAUGGAAAUGCCAUGGAAACGUGAGACGAGUGGAGCCUUCAGCUCACAGCCUCUCCAGCAGUAGUUUCGUCAGGGAGAGCAGAGCUGACAUCACGUGGGCACCUCCCUCUCCUCUCCCCAUCUUCAUGUCAAGAGCCCAAACGCAGCCCCACGCUGCAGCCUAGAGCGGCACUUUUCAUCAGGACUGGAGUGGGAAUCCCGUCCACAACUGUCAGCACCAGCAGUCCUCCCAAAGUAAUCCCAGUGUGGGCAGAAAGGGGCCCUGAGCUAAGCUGCUUGCAUCUGGAGACACUCGGUGGGGUGCUGCUUCCCUCUCCCCAGCCCUUACGCUUCAGCAUUGCCACUUGGCUCAGAUAAUUUACUUUUAAUAGUCUGGUUACAAAUGAGAUUGCAAAGGAAGCACGUGACUCAGAACUGGGAUUUCUGAGUCACAUUCUCAUUUCCCCCUUGUGCCUCCUAGGCCUCUAAUAAACUACAAAGAGACAUUAAGAAAACAAUAAGAACUCUUUAUCUACUGAGACUGGGGAACAGGAACAGUGAGCCGGCAAUAAUGGAUUCUGCGUAUUUGCAGUGCGUCCCUGCGGCAGCAGCAGAACAAGGGGAACGGGAAGUUCAGGUGCUCAGGACAUGGAGUGCUCAGAGCAGCUGGCCAGCACUGGGUGGAAAGCAGGUGAGCGGUGCCUGAGGUUGGCUGAGCACGCCUUCCUGGGCAGUCUCCUGGAAGACAUUUGGCCAUGUCCAUGCUGCAUUCCAUUGCGAACUCAAGGGAAUUAGCCAGCUGUCAUGUGUGCUGUGAGACAUCUUCUGCAUCGCCCCCCAACGUGAGCUGUAUCACUUGGGCCAGGAUAAACCACAGGUGCUGGCAGCAGCGUGUAAAUGGGAAAAGAAAAGGGGCCACAUCCUACCCCGGCCUGCAGCACCUCUGAUUGCGACAGCAGUUCUGCAGACAACUGCAGGUUUCUGCAGAGACCCAUGAAAUGUGUUCUCCCUGCUUGACCCAUCCCACUGCGUUUCUGACUGUGCCUGGACGUGGUGGAGAUCGGUAGCAAUGAGCUCAGAUCCCACUCAAGAAAUUUGGAAUUGGAUUUGAGGGAAGGAAAAGAAAAUCAAAAUGCAAUCAACAGGGACAGGAAAGAAAAGAGUUGCUGGAGAGCAUGAGCCUCCAGAAGCUGGAAUAGGAAAGAACAGAACCAUUCAAGCAUCCCCUGGUGUGGUGUUCCUUCCCCAGGCUCCUGCAGUUGGUCAUGGCACACGCUGCUGAUGAGCUGCUCUGACAUCUCACUAAGCACAAACCUUCUUGUGCCAUCAGGCUAUCCUCCUGAGCUGCAGAAAGACUACCAGCGCUGACCAAAGCCGCCAGCUACAGCGCGAGGUGCUGGAGCAGAGACUGGGCAGAAUUCUACUCAGGUCACUUCGCCUUCUGCAGAGAGAAGACCGUGAUUUCCAGG